GUGGGGAAUAUUGCACAAUGGGCGCAAGCCUGAUGCAGCAACGCCGCGUGAGGGACGACGGCCUUCGGGUUGUAAACCUCUUUUAGCAGGGAAGAAGCGAAAGUGACGGUACCUGCAGAAAAAGCACCGGCUAACUACGUGCCAGCAGCCGCGGUAAUACGUAGGGUGCAAGCGUUGUCCGGAAUUAUUGGGCGUAAAGAGCUCGUAGGCGGUUUGUCGCGUCUGCUGUGAAAACCCGAGGCUCAACCUCGGGCCUGCAGUGGGUACGGGCAGACUAGAGUGCGGUAGGGGAGAGUGGAAUUCCUGGUGUAGCGGUGGAAUGCGCAGAUAUCAGGAGGAACACCGAUGGCGAAGGCAGAUCUCUGGGCCGUAACUGACGCUGAGGAGCGAAAGCGUGGGGAGCGAACAGGAUUAGAAACCCGUGUAGUCC
rnacentral:rRNA from 1 species